GACGAACGCUGGCGGCGUGCUUAACACAUGCAAGUCGAACGGAAAGGCCCUGCUUUUGUGGGGUGCUCGAGUGGCGAACGGGUGAGUAACACGUGAGUAACCUGCCCUUGACUUUGGGAUAACUUUAGGAAACUGGGGCUAAUACCGGAUAGGAGCUCCUGCUGCAUGGUGGGGGUUGGGAAGUUUCGGCGGUUGGGGAUGGACUCGCGGCUUAUCAGCUUGUUGGUGGGGUAGUGGCUUACCAAGGCUUUGACGGGUAGCCGGCCUGAGAGGGUGACCGGCCACAUUGGGACUGAGACACGGCCCAGACUCCUACGGGAGGCAGCAGUGGGGAAUAUUGCACAAUGGGCGGAAGCCUGAUGCAGCAACGCCGCGUGCGGGAUGACGGCCUUCGGGUUGUAAACCGCUUUCGCCUGUGACGAAGCGUGAGUGACGGUAAUGGGUAAAGAAGCACCGGCUAACUACGUG
rnacentral:rRNA from 1 species